AUUGAACGCUGGCGGCAGGCCUAACACAUGCAAGUCGAACGAGUGGCGGACGGGUGAGUAAUGUCUAGGAAACUGCCUGCUGGAGGGGGAUAACUACUGGAAACGGUAGCUAAUACCGCAUACCAUCAGAUGUGCCCAGAUGGGAUGAGCUAGUUGGUGGGGUAACGGCUCACCAAGGCGACGAUCCCUAGCUGGUCUGAGAGGAUGACCGUCCACACUGGAACGGAGACACGGCCCAGACCCCUACGGGAGCCAGCAUUGGGAAAUAUUGCAAAAUGGGCGCAAGCCUGAUGCAGCACUGCCGCGUGUAUGAAGAGGGCCUUCGGGUUGUAAAGUACUUUCAGCGGGGAGGCGUUACCCGCAGAAGAAGCACCGGCUAACUCCGUGCCAGCAGCCGCGGUAAUUC
rnacentral:rRNA from 1 species